UACGAAGGGGGCUAGCGUUGUUCGGAAUUACUGGGCGUAAAGGGUUUGUAGGCGGUUGAACAAGUCAGUGGUGAAAGCCCAGAGCUUAACUCUGGAAUUGCCAUUGAAACUGUUCAGCUUGAGAGUGUUAGAGGAAAGUGGAAUUCCUAGUGUAGGAGUGAAAUCCGUAGAGAUUAGGAGGAAUAUCGAUGGCGAAGGCAGCUUUCUGGGACAUUUCUGACGCUGAGAAA
rnacentral:rRNA from 1 species